ACACACACACACACACACACACACACACACACAUGGUCACCAAGGGACGUCUGUGUUUCCCCAGUUGUUGUUGUUGGUAUUCAAGGCCAAUAGUAUGGUGGUUGUGGCGGGUGUGGCGUGGUGGUCUUAGACAUGUAUGACCUGAAGGGGAGGGGAAUCUUGGGCAUGACUUGAGGUCGAAACUAUUCCCACUUCUGUCUUCUAAACUUCUAAAGGCAGCCCCCCCCCCCCUCUCCCCUCUCCUGCUGCUGCUGUUCUCGGUAGUGGAGGCUUCAUGCGAGGCUCAUCAACAGCAGCAAGCAGUGUGUGUGUGUGUGUGUGUGAAGGGGCGCUGCAAGUGAGGCCUCUGAUAGUGUCGGCGCGAAUUAUGAAACUGCUUCUCGUUAUUGGCGCGUGUGAGUGUGCGAAGUGACGUGGAGGCAAGCAGGGAGACAGGCAGGCAGGGAAGCAAGCACGGAAAAAAAAACAUGUCUUACUGAGGUGGAAAGAUGACGAGGUAGGUAAAAGGAGAUGGAAGGGUAAUGAAGGCGAGGAGUGGCGAGGGAGUAGACCAAGAGGGAAGGACGAAAGGUUACGGGUUGCGGUAAAGGAGGGUGAAACGUGAUAAUGGAUGCAAGGGAAAGGAAAGAGGAGACGUGUGGAGGGAGAGAGAAGGAGGACAAGGAAACAUGUAACACUGGAGGCAGGCAGAGUAGGGCGGAUAAAACGAGAGGGGGGCGGGAAAAUGGAAACGUAGGAGGGAGAUAAGGGAGAAGAAUGAGAGAGAAGGGAGGGUAAGAUAACUGAAAAUAGGAAUAUAUAUGAAGACUGAGCGAAGGGUAGAGGGAUGGGGACAAGGAAAGCAAGGGAAAAAUGUAUAUAGCUUAGGAGUUUGAGAACGGGAAGAGGGAAGGGGACAAGGAAAGCAAGGGAAAGGAAAUAUGUUGGUAGCUAAAGUGUUUGAGAAAGGGAAGAAAGAAAGAGUCAAAGAAAGGAAGGGAAAAGAAUGAUGUAGGUAGCUUUUAAGUGUUUGAGAAAGGGAAGAAAGGAAGGGACAAGAAUGAUGUAGGUAGCUUUUAAGUGUUUGAGAAAGGGAAGAAAGGAAGGGACAAGAAUGAUGUAGGUAGCUUUUAAGUGUUUGAGAAAGGGAAGAAAGGAAGGGACAAGAAUGAUGUAGGUAGCUUUUAAGUGUUUGAGAAAGGGAAGAAAGGAAGGGACAAGAAUGAUGUAGGUAGCUUUUAAGUGUUUGAGAAAGGGAAGAAAGGAAGGGACAAGAAUGAUGUAGGUAGCUUUUAAGUGUUUGAGAAAGGGAAGAAAUGAAGGGAAAAGAAUGAUGUAGGUAGCUUUUAAGUGUUUGAGAAAGGGAAGAAAGGAAGGGAAAAGAAUGAUGUAGGUAGCUUUUAAGUGUUUGAGGAAGUGAAGAAAGAAAGCGACAAAGGAAGGAAGGGAAAGAUGUAUGUAGGAAAGUAAAGGGAAGGGAAGAUAAAUGUGUAGAUGGUAACAAAAAAAAAAAAAAUAGGGAAUAGAUACGAAGGGGAGAAGAGGAGAGGGGACAAAGAAAGUAAGGGAAAGAAAUGGUGCAGGUGGCGGAGUUAAGGGAAGGGAAGAAAACGUGUAGAAUGAUAACAAAAACAACAACGAAAAAAAAACCGGGAAUACAUAUGGAGGGAGAGAGGAGGAGGAGGUAUCGAGAAGGGAGGAACGAUAGGGGAAGGCGAGGUAUACAUGUGUCUCGAAGGGUUGAUACGCGACAUAUUAUCAGUCAACAGGGCCCCCUAUCUCACCUGUGACCUUGUGUAUAUACCUGGGCGGCGGCCUUGGGAAUAGCCGCCGUCUCACCCUUUGCCUCACCCCCACCCUCCUUUCUUCCUCCCUCGUAAACCCCCCCACCCCCCCUUCCUCCCUCAUCCCGCCCUUACUCCGUCCGCCCCUCUCAUUCAUCAUUAUCGCUGCCCACGUAACUUUUCUUAUCCCGCAUCUCUCUCUCUCUGCCGUCGUUCCCUUCAUUCGCUUCCUGUUUGUGUGGUUUUGUCAUUGUCUGCGUCUUCGUUUCGGUCCGUUUGUCGUUCCGCCUUUUCCCUCCACCUCUUCCGCCAUCGCCAUCACCUCCUCACCCUCAUCGUCGUCCUUCGUAGGUCCACCCGUCUCGUCUGUGUUGGUGGCGGGUCGAGGAGAAGGUAGACGGGUUAUUGCUGAUGUGUAGAGGGCGAGGGAGGGGGGAGGAUAUGAUGAGGAAAGGAGAAUAGAAAGAAUGGAGUGGGAGAAGGUAGACGGGUUGUUGCUGAUGUGUAGAGGGCGAGGGAGGGGGAAGGAUAUGAUGAGGAAAGGAGAGUAGAAAGAAUGGAGUGGGAGAAGGUAGACGGGUUGUUGCUGAUGUGUAGAGGGCGAGGGAGGGGGAAGGAUAUGAUGAGGAAAGGAGAGUAGAAAGAAUGGAGUGGGAGAAGGUAGACGGGUUGUUGCUGAUGUAUAGAGGGCGAUGGAGGGGGAGGAUAUGAUGAGGAAAGUACUAGAAAGAAUGAAGGGAAUGGCGUCGUGGCUGGUGCUGCCGGCGAGGAAAGGUAAGACGGAGAGAUGCUGCUGAUAACGGACGAGACGGAGGAGGAAGAGGAAGAGGAGAGGGAGGCGAAGAUGAGUGGUGGAGAUGACCCCAGGGCGACAUUGCUGGGACGGUGACCAGUGGAUGGGGGGGACUGGGGUCGGGGUUAGGGUACAGGAGGGAGGCGUCCGUCUGUGUUACUCGCUUACAUGGGAUGGCUGGAGUGUGUGUGUGUGUGUGUGUGUGUGUGUGUGUGUGAUUCAUGGGUGUGUUUUGGGGUGACAAGUGGUGUUGCCGUGUUACGAAAAAAAAAUGGUUGUAGUGGAGGACGAGUUGGAUGCGUGUGGAGUGGUUGUGGUGGUGGUGAUGGUGGUGACGUGGUGGUGGUGAUGGUGGUGCACGUGGUCUUGUUACGGUAUUGGUGGUGGUGGUGGUGAUGGUGGUGGAUAAGUGGACGCCGUAUAAUUAUUAACAGCAUAUUAGUGAUGAUUUUAACUAAAUAUCCUUGAUGGUGUGGGUAUUAUGGCGACGCUGGGUAGUAGAGGGGAGAGGUGGGGCGGUGAGGGCGGGAGGAAGGGAGGGUCUGCCGUCUGCCGUGUUAUAUCUUGCACAAGGAAGAGGAAGGGAGACAGGUCUGAGCCGCACUCCCUCCUUCCUUCCCUCCAGCCCGCCACCUCACCACCCUCGCCCUCUCCUCCUGGAACCGGCCUCGGGGACUGCCUCGGAGACUCUUGAUGCAAACGAUUCCAGUGAAGUUAUAAAUGAGUGGCGUUCAUUAAGAGGUAAUGAGCACCAGCCUCCACCAGUCUGCCACCAGCGUUACCAAGUUAUCGUACUCAGCCACUCAGCAUAUCGUAUUUUCCGGUUUCUGACUCACAACCAUCGCAAACAAACACCAGUAUGUAACGCUUUUAACGAUAACUUUAACUGGAAUCUCGUUAUUUGUCUGGGUACGAGAGUUUCGGGCCCUGGAACUGAUAAUUGCGAUGUUCCGAGUACGAUAAUAUGGUAACACUGUCUGACGCCCCUCCGCCCCCGUCUGCCCUCUCCCUCACACCUCACCCGUUCACCCGUAACUGAUUUGGAGGGUGGGAGGCUCUCGGGUUCCUCCAUAUACUCUGUCUUUCCUUCCUCCUCUACUUUCCAUCUUUCCCUCAGUCUGCCACACUUUCCGGCCUGUCUGACGCCCUUUCACCCCCGUCUGCCAUCUCCUUCACCCUUUCACCCACUGCUUGGGGGGGGGGGGGUCUCACUAGUUCCUCCACACAAUCUUUCCUUCCUCCUCCACUUUUCAUUUUUCCUCAGUCAGUCACCCUUCGCCACCUGUCUGCCCGCUCCCUCACACUUCACCCGCUCACCCGUCACUGAUUGGGGCGCCUCGAGAGUUCCUCCACACAUUUAUCCUUCCUUCCUCAUCCCUUCAUCUUCCUUCAGUCUGCCCGCUCCCUCACACCUCACCAAUCACCCGUCACUGCCUGGGGUGCCUCUCGAGCUUCUCAAUCCACUUUCUUUCAUUUCUUCUCUCCUUUCUCUCCUUCCUCCUCAACUUUUCAUCCUUCCUUAGUCUGGCACCCAUUCCCCUUGUCUGCCCUUUCCCUCACGCCUCACCCGCUCACCCGUUCACUGCUUGGGGUGUUUCACGAGCUUCUCAGUCCACUUUCCUUCCUCCUUUACUUUUCAUCCUCCCUUCUUGUGGAUUCUCUGCAGACCGUCACUCUUGGGCAAGACACACAGCACAUGCGUCCUUGGGAGAGACGAAGGACCAUGACUUUGAUAGCAUCCGACACACACACACACACACACACACACACACACACCAGUUUUUAAUAACUUCCUAACUUCAUCUGCAACAAGACCACAUUUCACCCAAUCAUUUCCCUGCGCACGCCCUCCCAGCCCCUCCGUGCUUUGUGCCACCUCUGCAUUUUUCCUCCACGAUGGGGUGUGCCCUUAUUUCCAUUCUGCAAGUGCUCGCCUCGUCUCGGUGGCCGGGCUCUGGAAGUAAGUGGGCGGAGCUCCGGGCCGGGCCGUCUGACGUAAGAAUAUACAAAGCCUUGGAAUGUGUGAGGCGGCGUGACGGGCUGACGUAAUGCUGUUGGCUGAAGGGGAGAGAGAGAGAGAGAGAGAGGAGGAUGGAGGUGGUGUAGCAGGAUGAUACGGGGAGUGGAGAGGAAGGCUGAUGGAGAGGUCUGUGAAGGGGGCGGGGCGGGGUUUAAUAGAUAGGCCGCACUGUGAAUGUGAAUCAGGCGAGACGGGCGACUUAUGAAUGCCUUAAUCGCCUGAAUGCCAUCGCCCUAUUGAACCAAGAACCUGAAAUGUGGUGAAUGGAGUCUGCAGAGGGUAAUGAGCUUGGUGGGGGUGGAGUGGCUGUAAGAGGAGGAGGAGGAGGAGGGGGGGGAAGGGAUUGAGAGAUGAACUCCUUUUCAUUUCCACGCUCCUUCGUCAUGUCAAGUCACAGCAGGAUAUUAUAAAGCGUUUUUUUUAUUUUUUUAUUUACAAGGAAUAUCGUCGUUCUUGUGUGUGCAGGGCAAGUCGUGGUGUGUGGAGCAGCGUUGCCAGAUCAUCAUACUCAGAACAUUUUAUUUAUCAGUUUCAGACCCCAAAACUUUCGUACCCACACAAGCAACGAUAUACGAUUAACCUGGUAGCAGCUGGGAUCAUGUUUCUUAAUGGUCCCUCUAAGCUAGAAAAAUGAGAAAAAAUCACUCCUCACACAAACCAUUUCAUAAUAUAUAUCAAUGCAUUUGUGAACAGUUUAUAUAUCAUCAUAUCAUAACACAAAUUUGGCCCGUCGCUGCUACACGGUUAAGGUUAUUGUGAAACCCGUUACUUUUUUUUCAAUAGUUUUGGGUAAGAAACAUUGCAUUGAUCAGUUUUAGGCCUCAAACUGUCUUAUACCCACAAAAACAACGAUAUUCAAGAAAGUUAUCGUUAAAACCGUUAAUUAUUGUUCUUGUUGAUUUUUGCAAUAGCCGAGUAAGAAACCAGAAAGUUCAGUAUCAUAGGUACGAUAAUUAGGUAGCAAUUCUUUGGGAGCUUCUUUUUUUUUCAUUUUUUGUCCUUGAGCUCUUACCUUUACUGUGGGAUAAAAAAGAGUUGGUGUGAGGCGCCCAUCAGAGCCACGCAUCAUCGGCCGCAGCCUUGCGACCUCCGACGUGACGCGCAUCCGUGAGGGGAGGCCAGGGAGGGGUUGUCUCGGUGGGAGGAGCCGGGGAGGGUGAGACACUGGGAGGCAAGCGUCAGUGUGUAUGAGGAAGGGGGGCAGUGAUGGGGAUCAGUGGGUCAGGAUGGGUAUACCUGCAGUAGGCGGUGGGUCAGGGGCAGUGGGUCAGGAGGGAAGGGUGGGGGUAGGUACAUGCUGGGCACUGCAGGGAGGGGGUGACCUUGACCCAGUGGUGACGAGUAGCGGCGGCCAGUCUCCACCACCGCUUCCGCCGCCGCUUCCCGCAGAUACUGGUGACUGACCCCCGGCUUCCCCCACCUCGUCCCCGCCCCCCCUUGUGGUGCCGAUGAGUAGCGGGAUGCUGCUGCUGCCGCCUGACCCACACACACACAC